ACGCACGCUGGCGGCGUGCUUCACACAUGCAAGUCGCACGCUGAAGCUCAGCUUUUGUUGGGUGGAUGAGUGGCGAACGGGUGAGUAACACGUGAGUAACCUGCCUCCUUCUUUGGGAUAACGCCCGGAAACGGGUGCUAAUACUGGAUAUUCACUGGUCUUCGCAUGGGGGUUGGUGGAAAGGGUUUUUCUGGUGGGGGAUGGGCUCGCGGCCUAUCAGCUUGUUGGUGGGGUGAUGGCCUACCAAGGCUUUGACGGGUAGCCGGCCUGAGAGGGUGACCGGUCACAUUGGGACUGAGAUACGGCCCAGACUCCUACGGGAGGCAGCAGUGGGGAAUAUUGCACAAUGGGCGCAAGCCUGAUGCAGCGACGCCGCGUGAGGGAUGGAGGCCUUCGGGUUGUGAACCUCUUUCGCUCAUGGUCAAGCCGCAACAAUGGUUGUGGUGAGGGUAGUGGGUAAAGAAGCGCCGGCUAACUACGUG
rnacentral:rRNA from 1 species